rnacentral:rRNA from 1 species
AUCGUUAACCCCACACUGCGCGCCACCCCGGGAAAGACUUGAAAGAAAGGAAAGGAACUCGGCAAACACUCUCUAAGCCUCGCCUGUUUACCAAAAACUCUGCCUCCUGCUAAACUUCAAUGUAUAGGAGGUCUUACCUGCCCAGUGACAAAAUGUUCAAC